UGGGGAAUUUUGGACAAUGGGCGAAAGCCUGAUCCAGCAAUGCCGCGUGUGUGAAGAAGGCCUUCGGGUUGUAAAGCACUUUUGUCCGGAAAGAAAUCCUUGGCUCUAAUACAGUCGGGGGAUGACGGUACCGGAAGAAUAAGCACCGGCUAACUACGUGCCAGCAGCCGCGGUAAUACGUAGGGUGCAAGCGUUAAUCGGAAUUACUGGGCGUAAAGCGUGCGCAGGCGGUUUGCUAAGACCGAUGUGAAAUCCCCGGGCUCAACCUGGGAACUGCAUUGGUGACUGGCAGGCUAGAGUAUGGCAGAGGGGGGUAAAAUUCCACGUGUAGCAGUGAAAUGCGUAGAGAUGUGGAGGAAUACCGAUGGCGAAGGCAGCCCCCUGGGCCAAUACUGACGCUCAUGCACGAAAGCGUGGGGAGCAAACAGGAUUAGAUACCCUGGUAGUCCACGCCCUAAACGAUGUCAACUAGUUGUUGGGGAUUUCAUUUUCCUUAGUAACGUAGCUAACGCGUGAAGUUUGACCGCCUGGGGANAACGG
rnacentral:rRNA from 1 species